rnacentral:sRNA from 1 species
CAAAAACCAAAAAAAAC